rnacentral:rRNA from 1 species
UACGAACGCUGGCGGCAUGCCUAACACAUGCAAGUCGAGCGAGAUCUUCGGGUCUAGUGGCGCACGGGUGCGUAACGCGUGGGAAUCUGCCCUUUGGUUCGGAAUAACAGUUGGAAACGACUGCUAAUACCGGAUGAUGACGAAAGUCCAAAGAUUUAUCGCCAGAGGAUGAGCCCGCGUAGGAUUAGCUAGUUGGUGUGGUAAAGGCGCACCAAGGCGACGAUCCUUAGCUGGUCUGAGAGGAUGAUCAGCCACACUGGGACUGAGACACGGCCCAGACUCCUACGGGAGGCAGCAGUGGGGAAUAUUGGACAAUGGGCGAAAGCCUGAUCCAGCAAUGCCGCGUGAGUGAUGAAGGCCUUAGGGUUGUAAAGCUCUUUUACCCGGGAUGAUAAUGACAGUACCGGGAGAAUAAGCUCCGGCUAACUCCGUGCCAGCCGCCGCAGUAA